AGUAUUUGAAGGGCGCAGAUGGAUUUUGCAGCUGGGGAAGGGAACAUUAGCAUUAGCGAAAUGUCUGUGGUGGAGCCCAGGUUUCCUUCACACAAAGGUCACAUCCCUUCACUGUGAAGAGAAUCAUGUUGAAGGAAAAGAAGGAGAGGAAAGGAGAGACAUGGAGUGUCUGCGGGUGAGAAGGGGGAGUAACAUUGAAGAGAAAAAAGCAGACAUAUGACCAGCGAAGCUUGGAAAUCUUGCCACGGUGGAUUGUUUUAAGGUUUAAAAGUAGUUAACCACACAAUGAGGCCAUGAAGAUAGAUGUUCAAACCCCGUUACAGUAUGUUCCAUGGAAGACUUGGGAAACUGCAGUGCCUGAAGACGGCAAGCAUGCUGCCAUUGGCUCAAGUCAAUACAAUAAGAGGACACCAGAGAUUUAACCCAGAACUGCAAAUCAGGCUCCUGGCCAUUGCAAAUGCAAGGACAAUAUUGUCUGCAGAGCUAGCAAGGGCAUCUCAUGCUCCUGAGGGAUUUGUCUACAGAACGACCUGUGUAUGUAGACAUUCUGAGAUAUUUUGAGCAUCGGAGAUGGCAUUGAUGAAAUGCAAGCAACUAUUUCAAGAUAUGUUUAAAUGAAUGAGAAGUCACCCGUGGUAGUUGUACUAUAAAUAGAAGAUUUGUAUCCUCUGAAAUAUGAGUUUAUCACAAAAGAAGCAAGUAAACUUCAUGGGAAUUCA
rnacentral:lncRNA from 1 species